UCUGUCACUGUGUCACCUGCUCCCUCACUCUCACUAGUCACCCCCUCCCUCACUCUGUCACUAAUCACCCCCUCUGUCCUUAGUGACAGAGUGAGAGAGGGGGUGACUAGUGACAGAGUGAGGAAGGGGGUGACAUGGUGAGGGAGGGGGUGACUAGUGACAUAGUGAGAGAGGGGGUGACUAGUGACAGAGUGAGGGAGGGGGUGACACAGUGACAGUUAGGGAGGGAGUGACUAGUGACAGCCACCCCCUCUCUCACUCUGUCACACCCUCUCUCACUCUGUCAUUAGUCACCCUCUCUCUCACUCUGUCACCAGUCAUCCCUUCCUUCCCUCACUCUGCCACUAGUCAUCCCUUCCCUCACUCUGUCACCAGUCACCCCUUCCUUCCUUCACAAUGACAGAGUUAGGGAGGGAGUGAC